rnacentral:rRNA from 1 species
CACGCAGGCGGUUUGUUAAGUCAGAUGUGAAAUCCCCGAGCUUAACUUGGGAACUGCAUUUGAAACUGGCAAGCUAGAGUCUUGUAGAGGGGGGUAGAAUUCCAGGUGUAGCGGUGAAAUGCGUAGAGAUCUGGAGGAAUACCGGUGGCGAAGGCGGCCCCCUGGACAAAGACUGACGCUCAGGUGCGAAAGCGUGGGGAGCAAACA